UUGCUUUAGCAGAGCAAAAUCCUUGAAUAUACUUUUCUAAUUCUAGUUCUUAUGUACAUUUCCUGCAUCCUACUCUCUCUUAAUCCUUCAACAUCACCAUUAAAAUCUUACAAUAGGAACUAAUAAAAUAGAAAAAAGCCUUUGAAUUUGGAAAAUUAGUAUACUACAUAAGUAGAAGGCCAAUAAAAAAAAGAACAUCAAAUCACCAAAAACUCUUCUUUUCUAAGAUCUCUUAUUCUUUGUAGGAUACUUGUUCUGGGUUGGAUUUGGGCCAGUUGAUGGUGCUUUCCUCAAACUUUGAUCCAAAUCUUUCUUGUUUUGUUUCUUGCUUCCACUUAUUUUACCUAUACUUGUUGAAACAGAAAAAGAUGAAGAUAGCAACUUCCUUGAAAGACUUGUAUCUCUUGAAAAUCUAUGUUCAUAGUUGAGACACAAUGAAGAGAACAGAAGAAAGUGAACAAGAACCAAGGCUAAGAUUGCAGCCAAAACCCUGAAGAAGAUUGUUUUCAUGAUAAUGAAUUCAGAGUGGUUUGAGUUGGAAACAUACUAG
rnacentral:lncRNA from 1 species